rnacentral:rRNA from 1 species
GUAAGGAAUAUUGGUCAAUGGACGAAAGUCUGAACCAGCCAUGCCGCGUGAAGGAUGAAGGCCCUCUGGGUUGUAAACUUCUUUUAUCUGGGACGAAAAAAGGGUAUUCUUACUCACUUGACGGUACCAGAGGAAUAAGCACCGGCUAACUCCGUGCCAGCAGCCGCGGUAAUACGGAGGGUGCAAGCGUUAUCCGGAUUCACUGGGUUUAAAUGGUGCGUAGGUGGGUAUUUAAGUCAGUGGUGAAAUCUCCGAGCUUAACUCGGAAACUGCCAUUGAUACUAUUUACCUUGAAUGCCCUGGAGGUAAGCGGAAUAUGUCAUGUAGCGGUGAAAUGCUUAGAUAUGACAUAGAACACCAAUUGCGAAGGCAGCUUACUACGGGGUGAUUGACACUGAGGCACGAAAGCGUGGGGAGCAAACAGGAUUAGAUACCCGAGUAGUCC